rnacentral:rRNA from 1 species
CCGUAGCCCAAGAGAUCGGGAUAACACCUGGAAACAGAUGCUAAUACCGGAUAACAACAGAUGAUGCCAUCAACUGUUUAAAAGAUGGUUCUGCUAUCACUCUUGGAUGGACCUGCGGUGCAUUAGCUAGUUGGUAGGGUAACGGCCUACCAAGGCGAUGAUGCAUAGCCGAGUUGAGAGACUGAUCGGCCACAUUGGGACUGAGACACGGCCCAAACUCCUACGGGAGGCAGCAGC